rnacentral:rRNA from 1 species
AGUGAACGCUGGCGGUAGGCCUAACACAUGCAAGUCGAACGGCAGCACAGUAAGAGCUUGCUCUUACGGGUGGCGAGUGGCGGACGGGUGAGGAAUACAUCGGAAUCUACUUUUUCGUGGGGGAUAACGUAGGGAAACUUACGCUAAUACCGCAUACGACCUACGGGUGAAAGCAGGGGAUCUUCGGACCUUUCGCGAUUGAAUGAGCCGAUGUCGGAUUAGCUAGUUGGCGGGGUAAAGGCCCACCAAGGCGACGAUCCGUAGCUGGUCUGAGAGGAUGAUCAGCCACACUGGAACUGAGACACGGUCCAGGCUCCUACGGGAGGCGGCAGUGGGGAAUAUUGGACAAUGGGCGCAAGCCUGAUCCAGCCAUACCACGUGGGUGAAGAAGGCCUUCGGGUUGUAAAGCCCUUUUGUUGGGAAAGAAAAGCAGCAGGUUAAUACCCCGCUGUUCUGACGGUACCCAAAGAAUAAGCACCGGCUAACUUCGUG